UCUUCCAGCAUCUCUGGUCAAGGUUAAAUCAGCUUUUCACAGCAGUCAGAUUGAACAUAGUUGAUGCAUCCUAUUCUACAUUCUACACAUGAGGCUUUAUUUUGUUCCUGUCUCUUCAGAGAUGUCUGUGUCAAGUGCCAAGCAGCUAUCUAAACAAGCUACAGAACUAGCAGCCUGAAUCCAAACUGAUCAGGACUAAUGAUGCCCAUCAGCCAUCUCCAUCUCUGUGAAGAACUGCAUAAAACAACAGCUGGGAAAGUGCUGAGCCCACAAUAUCCAUAACUGACUUCCACAAAAUGAUCUCCAUUGUCCUGCCAUGUACAGAUUAUGCGAAGAUAAGCACUAAAGAGGCAACAGAUGACUUCGUGUUGAAUCUUCAAGGCUGGUUCUCAUUGAUUUUCCUGUGAGAGAGGAGAAAAAAGGCCUGGGAUUUGGGUUUACAUUGUGAAAAUAAGUGUUCGUGUCAUCUGAAGGAGCCCAGGAGAAAUGGCUUCUUUUGAAUCACAAACAGAAUAUCCCUUCAGCCACCAGUAACUCAAACCCUUGGUAAAACCAGCUCCUGGCUAAAUUCAUCACAAGCCACAGGUUGUGUUUUAUGGUCUACGGUUGAUUUAUGGGUACAAAAACAAAAAGUCAGUGCAGUGUGGCUCUCGCAGCCCUCUUCUUGUGGCAACACUUCACAACGCAGAGCAGGCCUCUCCCAGCUGAAGAACAAAAACUUGUCGUUACAGAAGCAGAAACAAAGCAUUAUGCACACCUUGCUGCUUCCAUUACCUCAGGUACAGACGCCCCCCAAAAUAUGUAUUAUUCUCUAGCAGGUUUCCAGGAAUGGGAACAGCUGGAGAAACUGAAUGUUAUGCUUCAUUGAUUGGGAAAAUUUGCUGUACUGCAAUAUUAGUACUCACUGCCUGUUGUGGUCACCAAGCACUGUCAUCAAAGCGGUUUCAAAAGGCUGCUGUUUCAAACAUUUCUGAAAAUGGAAAUCCUCUCCUGUAUGUCUACCUAGUGCAGCUGGCUUGCAUUUGACAGCUCAACACAUGGGAAAAAGAAAUAUUUUGUUGCAUCUGUCCCUCUGGAUUUGGUUCUGUUGCUUUUAUGUGUUGCAGUGUAAGGAAAACUCAGCUCAGAUUCCGUCUGUGGUUUUCACCAAGAAUACUGCUUUUCCCUUCUUCCCGCACAACUUUCCAGCCAGAUUGACUGAACUGCAGAAAGGUCAGAUGACUUACUUGGAGGUCCCUUCAGAUUGUCAUCGAGUUGCCCUCAAUUUGAGCUGAAGAGAGGUCUGGUCCCUAUACUGCAGCCGGAGACACAGAGAUCGGGUUUCCAGAACGCUAGCAAUCCCCAGCUUGCCGCAAAGUCAGAUGGAGACGAGUGGCCACGGAGACCACUCAGGAAGAAAAAGGAAAUAAAGAAGAGUGACAGUUUGCAGGGGAAGAGUCAUGUGAAACAUCAGCAGAGCAGCAUCAGCGGUGGCACAGAGGGAAAAGCCCCACUCCAGAAGUGCCCCCAGAUGGUCACGCGCCAAUGUCCGCGACCUCGUGAGCAGCAGCAACUCAGGUUAAGCGUGUGCUUUGCAGAUGGACAAAGCCCAGUCUGUGUACAGGUUUUUUCCUUGUGGCUGUAAAAUUCAGAGGUGGGAGAGAAACCUGGGCUGUAUCAUAGACUGCCGGUGGUCCGCCCCCUCCACCCAGCACUGCAGACCGUCCAAAACAUUGUCAUUGCACCCCAGAAGGCAAGCAGGCCUGGGACAGAUCCAGAACGGAUUACAACAUAAUCCAAUUCACAGGGAGGGGUAUUUUUGAAAGAGGAUUAUGUGUUUUGUUUUUUUGUUUUUUUUUUCCCCUUCUGGCUGCCUUCCAGAAAAUAAAUAAAUGCUGUAAUUCUCAUGUAAUGUUUUUAGAAGGCAUGGCGAUGGAAAGAGAAGGCUCUUUUCCAUGUCCAUGUUAGAGAGCGGGAGGAAGAAAGCUGAUUUUUUGCAGCAGUGUGCCAAGCAAUCUCAGGAUAUGCGAGUCAGAAAUGCUGGUGUUUCCCACUGCGCAUUCAAGAACAGCAUGAAACUGAAGAAAACGGUGCUGCAUUUCUAAUCAGAACAAUGUAAUACGGGUGUUGGGUCUGCAUCCCAGCAUCAAAAGGCCUCCUCCUGAACCCUUUAUGACCCUCAGAGAGGUUUGCAUAAUUAUCUUGAUUAAAGGCACAGCACAAUUUUAGUACCAAAGCCCACAAAUUACCAAGGCCCGCAUGUUUUGCAAAAUAAUACUGUUCAUGUGAUUAUUUGUUUUGCUCUAAUCAUUUCUGAAAUAUUACUCCAUUGCUUAGAUUUGAAUUGCUAGCUGUAACAGAUAGCCAGUUUGCAAAUAAAAUAUAAGUCCCUACAAAACUGUUCCCAUUGCAUGAGAAAAUGUUAUUGGAUUUCCCUGGCGUUACAGUGCUGAGCUUGGUUAUUUGUAUUAAGGGGUACAACUG